GAUGAACGCUGGCGGCGUGCCUAAUACAUGCAAGUCGAGCGAACAGACGAGGAGCUUGCUCCUCUGACGUUAGCGGCGGACGGGUGAGUAACACGUGGAUAACCUACCUAUAAGACUGGGAUAACUUCGGGAAACCGGAGCUAAUACCGGAUAAUAUAUUGCACCGCAUGGUUCAAUAGUGAAAGACGGUUUUGCUGUCACUUAUAGAUGGAUCCGCGCCGCAUUAGCUAGUUGUUAAGGUAACGGCUUACCAAGGCGACGAUGCGUAGCCGACCUGAGAGGGGGAUCGGCCACACUGGAACUGAGACAGGGUCCAGACUCCUACGGGAGGCAGCAGUAGGGAAUCUUCCGCAAUGGGCGAAAGCCUGACGGAGCAACGCCGCGUGAGUGAUGAAGGUCUUCGGAGCGUAAAACUCUGUUAUUAGGGAAGAACAAAUGUGUAAGUAACUAUGCACGUCUUGACGGUACCUAAACAGAAAGCCACGGCUAACUACGUG
rnacentral:rRNA from 1 species